rnacentral:rRNA from 1 species
GACGAACGCUGGCGGCGUGCCUAAUACACGCAAGUAGAACGCUGAAGGAGGAGCUUGCUUCUCUGGAUGAGUUGCGAACGGGUGAGUAACGCGUAGGUAACCUGCCUGGUAGCGGGGGAUAACUAUUGGAAACGAUAGCUAAUACCGCAUAAGAGUAGAUGUUGCAUGACAUUUGCUUAAAAGGUGCACUUGCAUCACUACCAGAUGGACCUGCGUUGUAUUAGCUAGUUGGUGAGGUAACGGCUCACCAAGGCAACGAUACAUAGCCGACCUGAGAGGGUGAUCGGCCACACUGGGACUGAGACGCGGCCCAGACACCUACGGGAGGCAGCGGUAGGGAAGCUUCGGCAAUAGACGGAAGUCUGACCGAGCAACGCCGCGUGAGUGAAGAAGGUUUUCGGAUCGUAAAGCUCUGUUGUAAGAGAAGAACGAGUGUGAGAGUGGAAAGUUCACACUGUGACGGUAUCUGACCAGAAAGGGACGGCUAAGUACGUG